UGAAAGUCAGGUCGGAUUAAGCCAUAGUACGGGAAAAACUAUGCUACCUGUGAGCCCCGUCCAAGGACGUAAAAAGAAGUCAGGCCAUCAUAAAAAAUGCCACAGCUUGAGCAAACUGUGCAGCCUGUAGCUCCACCUGAGGAGGUGUAAAAAACCCGGGAGGCCACAAACCAUGGAAGCUGUACGCAUGGCGUAGUGGACUAGCGGUUAGAGGAGACCCCUCCCUUACAAAUCGCAGCAACAACGGGGGCCCAAGGUGAGAUGAAGCUGUAGUCUCACUGGAAGGACUAGAGGUUAGAGGA
rnacentral:lncRNA from 1 species